UUGAAGUGGGACAUAUGAAGUUAUGUCCACAACUACGAGGGGUGCACAACCAGGCCUGGGAGAGAAAAUUACUGAUAUCCACAAAACCAAAUCAGAUAAGGAGCAUACUAUACAAAGACAACAGUGGAGAGUUGCUGGAUC